GAUGAACGCUAGCGACAGGCUUAACACAUGCAAGUCGAGGAGCAGCACGGGAGUAGCAAUACAACUGGUGGCGACCGGCGCACGGGUGAGUAACGCGUAUGCAACCUACCUAUCAGAGGGGAAUAACCCGGCGAAAGUCGGACUAAUACCGCAUAAAACAGGGGCACCGCAUGGUGAUAUUUGUUAAAGAAAUUCGCUGAUAGAUGGGCAUGCGUUCCAUUAGGUAGUUGGUGAGGUAACGGCUCACCAAGCCGACGAUGGGAUAGGGGGAACUGAGAGGUUGGUCCCCCANACUGGUACUGAGACACGGGACCAGACUCCUACGGGGAGGCAGCAGUGAGGAAUAUUGGUCAAUGGGCGAGAGCCUGAACCAGCCAAGUCGCGUGAAGGAAGAAGGAUCUAUGGUUCGUAAACUUCUUUUGCAGGGGAAUAAAGUGCAGGACGUGUCCUGUUUUGUAUGUACCCUGAGAAUAAGGAUCGGCUAACUCCGUGCCAG
rnacentral:rRNA from 1 species